rnacentral:tRNA from 1 species
GUGCCCGUAGUUCAGUGGAUAGAACGUCGGCUUGCGGAGCCGAAGGUCGGAGGUUCGAUCCCACCCGGGCAUA